rnacentral:lncRNA from 1 species
CUGUAAGUCAGGGAGCAACCGUGCCCCGGAGUCCCAGGCCCUUUGCGUUGGAGGCAGUGGCUGGGGGCCCCCUGUAAGCAGGGAAGCUGGCUCUUUGGCCGCUGCUUUUUGUACGCCCAGCCCCAUUUGCCCAGCCUGCCCGCCUCUGUGAUCCCCCGCAGCACCGGCUGGAAGUCCGCCGCGCGUCAGUGAGGAGCUGCUGCAGAAGAAAGAAGAAGCAGCAGCGUGGGGACCUGGGCUUCAAAUCAAGAAAAAUCAACCUACGGUUGAGGAACAAUGUGAAGGUGAAGCCAGGUUUGCUGGAUGAGAUUUGUCUCGUGGCUAUUCAACUACCUGGGCUCUCCCUCUUCUGCACAGGACAGGAAGAGAAAUCAAGAUGGAACAGCUGGUGGGAGAUGGCCUACCUGGCUAGUGUUAAAGGAAACAGAGUUUGGACUUUGGGAAAAUUGAUUUCACUUAUUCUGGGUAAUCCUGAAUGCUGCUAUGCUUUUCUCUGAUUUUGAAUUAAUAGGAAUCAGAUAUAUGCUCUUGCUGAUUUGAUGGAACUUAAAUAAAUUCACGUGGUGAGGAGAGGCAAAGAUCUUUUUGUGGUUACACGAGGAUUUCCCUCAAUGAGGUUUAUUUACAGCAACGGAUUCCACAGUGCCUUACCCAACUUGUAGAGAGGGUAAUAUCACACAGUUUUGCAGCC